rnacentral:lncRNA from 1 species
ACCUCUCUUCAGACACAAGACUUGGACUCUUGGAAGAUCAAAAGACCCUUUCUGGUGACUUAAAGGCUCGGAGAUUCCACCUAAAAGCACUAGAAAGGGGUUUGAACAUUCUCUCAACUCGAAGGACUCAAGAAGGCUCUUGGAAUCCCUGUUACCCUAACACGGUUCCCGGAUUCUAGGGGUUCUGCCACGCGUCGUUGGAGUAAUCGUCCACCUGUCGUUCUCCCCUCUUCAAUCAACCAAUCAAUUCUAUACUCUUCGUGGAUUU